rnacentral:rRNA from 1 species
GACGAACGCUGGCGGCGUGCCUAAUACAUGCAAGUUGAGCGCUGAAGGUUGGUACUUGUACCAACUGGAUGAGCAGCAAACGGGUGAGUAACGCGUGGGGAAUCUGCCUUUGAGCGGGGGACAACAUUUGGAAACGAAUGCUAAUACCGCAUAAAAACUUUAAACACAAGUUUUAAGUUUGAAAGAUGCAAUUGCAUCACUCAAAGAUGAUCCCGCGUUGUAUUAGCUAGUUGGUGAGGUAAAGGCUCACCAAGGCGAUGAUACAUAGCCGACCUGAGAGGGUGAGCGGCCACAUUGGGACUGAGACACGGCCCAAACUCCUACGGGAGGCAGCAGUAGGGAAUCUUCGGCAAUGGACGAAAGUCUGACCGAGCAACGCCGCGUGAGUGAAGAAGGUUUUCGGAUCGUAAAACUCUGUUGGUAGAGAAGAACGUUGGUGAGAGUGGAAAGCUCAUCAAGUGACGGUAACUACCCAGAAAGGGACGGCUAACUACGUG